rnacentral:lncRNA from 1 species
AUUUGCUAGCUCUCAUUGAGGUUUUUACCAUCUAUUGUCAAAAUAAUCUUGUGGGGAUCACACAAAUUACUCAAGUUUUUCCAGAUACUAACAUUGGUUAAUCAAGAUAAUGACAAAACUGCACUUCAGGUAUAUGUUUUUGUCAAAAUAUGAUGCUAUAAUAUAAAGAGUACAAAAAUCUUGAUGCACCAGUUUGGUUUGUUUAAACUGUAACCUGAUACUUGAUCGUUUCUUAUUAGCCUUGUGAAAAGGUAUAUAACUAAACAACUUGUUGAAUUACAUGGGUCUUCAAGCCGUUACUUACAGAGGUUUAUGAUUUUGCAUCUGCUAUUUAUCCAGUUGAAUAAUGCCGUCUCUGAUGGGAGUUCAGUACAUGAUACAGUGUAUAUGCUCUUUAAUGGAUUGUAGAAGUUAAUGGGAAACUAACUCUUAAUGUAACAAAGGUACAUAUUAUAAAGGCUUUUAUUAAUGAGGUCACAAUGGAUAUGGUUUAGCAUGUUGUGAUCUAGAGUUGAUUAAAAUUUCUAAUAUUUUCAUUUUUAUAUUCAUAAAAAGAUUUAAGGGUGUGUUGAUGACUAUUGAACCCGUAUAUUAUUGUUGCUUUUGAUUGUAAUUUAAAUUUUCCUACCCGGGUAUCUACCCGGGGAAUAACCUAGUUUAUAUAUUAUUAAUAUGAAUGAAAUUACCUAUUACAUUACAUAUAACAGUGUAUACAUAUAAUAAUUUCUAUAAUUGUUUAUCUUUUAAAUCUAACUUUUAUUUAAAAUAAAUCUCUAAGACCUCAAUUAUGUUUGCAAAAAUCAUUAUUUAAGUUGUUCUUUUUCUCUGUAUUGAUAAAAAGUCAAUUUUAUUAGUAUGACAUAAAUUAGGUUGUUAUUCUUACUAAUAAUUGUUAUGCAGAUUUAAUUAAUAAAUAAUUAUUGUAAAGUUAUGAUAUAAGUUAAAGGUUUAUAUAUGAUGAAUAAAAUUUUUUCAUUAUUAAAGGUUAAUUGGCUAUGUCACAAAUGAAUAUAAAAUGAUAUUAAUAUAUUUCUUACUAAACACAUUUAUUAAUCAUAAAUCGGUGUAGCUACAAACCUUAAUAUUAUCUCAUCUAUAAAACUUCAAAACGUUAAGUUAUAUGGUUAGUUGCUCUUUUUUAGCUUUUAUUCAUAUGUUAGAAAAACUUAUAUAUCGACUUUCUAUAUAAUCUCAGACAUGGAUGGCAACUUUUUUUUUUAAUUUAAACUAUUUUUUUAAGAAAUACUAAAAUCAUAGUUUUUAAAAUUAUAGAUCAUUUAUGUAUAUAUUUUAAUCAUAAAUUUAUAUAUUAUUAAUGAGUUAAAGAUGAAAUUGCCAUGUGGCAUUAAUUGGAAAUAGGUAAGAGGAGAUAAUGCCACUUGGCAUUAGAUGUAAUCAACAAUCAGUUAAAGUUGUAUUUUGUCGGAAAGAUCAACUGAGUAACAUGUUUCAUUUAAAAAAACAAAAAAGUGAAAUGACCAAAUGUGUUAGAAGUAUUUGAAUGCUUAAAAUGUUCUUAAUCGUUUUAUUAAAAAGAAAUCUUAUAUCAUACUUUUGAUAAUAUGUUUUCGCUACUCAUAACAAUACAUCAAACAUUACAAAAUGUAUAUAUAAAAAAGUGAAUGCACAAAAGGUGUUUAAACGUUGCCCUAACAUGACUCAAAUCCUUUUGACCCGUAAAAAAAUCACCUGUUUUGGCAUGAACCCGUUACAACCAGAAAAGAAAGAUAAAUAAGAUUCAAAUACUUCC